GCGAGGGGGUCUGGUGGCUAGGGUUAGGGUUUGGUGUGGAUAGGAGUUAUUUAUAUUCGUCUGCUUUUAAUCUGGACCUUCCAUCACUUUUGAUAUGGACCGUCUGAUUGCAAUUAAAUAGGGAGUUAAUCUGGACGGUUCAUCGCGAUCCAAUCUGGACUAUCCAUCGCGAUAUAAUCUAGACCGUUUGAUCGCGUUCAAAUCUAACCAUCCGAUC
rnacentral:lncRNA from 1 species